rnacentral:rRNA from 1 species
UACGGAGGGGGCUAGCGUUGUUCGGAAUUACUGGGCGUAAAGCGCACGUAGGCGGAUUGGAAAGUUGGGGGUGAAAUCCCGGGGCUCAACCCCGGAACUGCCUUCAAAACUCCCAGUCUUGAGUUCGAGAGAGGUGAGUGGAAUUCCGAGUGUAGAGGUGAAAUUCGUAGAUAUUCGGAGGAACACCAGUGGCGAAGGCGGCUCACUGGCUCGAUACUGACGCUGAGGUGCGAAAGCGUGGGGAGCAAACAGG